UCUACAAUCUACUUUAAAUAUUAGACGGCGAGGACGUUAACGAACACAAGUUACACCUAUAGUUCCAGAUAUAUUACGAAAGUUUCAAUAUUCAUGCAA